UGUUUUGGGGGGGUCCCUAAUACAUGCAAGUCGAGCGGUAACAGGAGAAAGCUUGCUUUCUUGCUGACGAGCGGCGGACGGGUGAGUAAUGUAUGGGGAUCUGCCCGAUAGAGGGGGAUAACUACUGGAAACGGUGGCUAAUACCGCAUAAUGUCUACGGACCAAAGCAGGGGCUCUUCGGACCUUGCACUAUCGGAUGAACCCAUAUGGGAUUAGCUAGUAGGUGGGGUAAAGGCUCACCUAGGCGACGAUCUCUAGCUGGUCUGAGAGGAUGAUCAGCCACACUGGGACUGAGACACGGUCCAGACUCCUACGGGAAAC
rnacentral:rRNA from 1 species